CCUACGGGGGGCAGCAGUGGGGAAUAUUGCACAAUGGGGGAAACCCUGAUGCAGCGACGCCGCGUGAGUGAAGAAGUAAUUCGUUAUGUAAAGCUCUAUCAGCAGGGAAGAAAAUGACGGUACCUGAGUAAGAAGCCCCGGCUAACUACGUGCCAGCAGCCGCGGUAAUACGUAGGGGGCAAGCGUUAUCCGGAUUUACUGGGUGUAAAGGGAGCGUAGACGGCAGUGCAAGUCUGGAGUGAAAGGCGGGGGCUCAACCCCCGGACUGCUCUGGAAACUGGACGGCUGGAGUGCAGGAGAGGUAGGUGGAAGUCCUGGUGUAGCGGUGAAAUGCGGAGAGAUUAGGAGGAACACCGGUGGCGAAGGC
rnacentral:rRNA from 1 species